CAAAUGAACUUAUCACAUCUGUAGUUGUAUAAUGAUCAUAACAAUCUGAUUUCACAGGAUUUCCAUCCCACAGCCCAGACCAUAGACUGUAAUAAAGUGGGAUUUAUCCCAGGGAUGCAAGGAUGGUUUUAUACCUGCAAAUCAAUCAAUAUGAUACAUCAUAUUAACAAGCUGAAGAAUAAAAACCAUAUGAUCAUUUCAAUAAAUGCAGAAAAAGCUUUUGACAAAAUUCAACAUCCGUGUAAAAUAAAAAUGUUCCACAAAGUGGACAAAGAAGGAACAUACCUCAACAUAAUAAUGGCCAUAUAUGACAAACCCAGAGCUAACAUCAUACUCAAUGGUGAAAAGCUGAAUGCAUUUCCUCUAAGAUCAGGAACAAGACAAGGAUGACCACUCUCUUCACUUUACUCAACGAAGUACUGGAAGUCUGAGCCACAGGGACCAAACAAGAAAAAGAAAUAAAAGGAAUCCCUAUUCGAAAGAAAGAAGUAAAAUUGCCACUGUUUGCAAAUGACAUGAUACUAUAUAUAGAAAAUCCUAUAUGCCAUCUAAAAUUACUAGAGCUCAUUAAUGAAUCUGGUAAAGUUUCAAAAUACAAAAUUAAUAAUCAGAAACUUGUUUCAUUGCUAUACACUAACAAAGAACUAUUAGAGAAAUUAAGGAAUCAGUUCCACUUACAAUUGCAUCAAAAAGAAGUACCUAAGAAUAAGCCUACCUAAAGUGGUAAAAGACCUGUACUCAAAAAACUAUAAGAAAACAGAUGAAAGAAACUGAAGAUAGCACACUCAGAUGGAAAGAUAUACACUGUUCAUGGAUAGGAAGAAUUAAUAUUAUGAAGAUAUACAAAUAAAAUUAGCAAAGACAUGAAACUAGACCCCUAUCUUACAUCACAGACAAAAAUCAACUCAAAAUGAUUAAUGACUUGAACAUAAGACCUGACACGUAAAACUGCUAAAAGUAAAAACAGGGAGCAAGGUCCCUGACAACUGUCUUAACAAAGGUUUUCUGGAUUUGGUAAAAGUGAAAGUGACAAAAUAAAAAAUAAGCAAAUGGGACUACAUCAAACUAAAAAGUUUCGGCACAACAAAAGGACACCAUCAACAAAAUGAAAAAGCAACUUAUAAAAUGGGAGAAAAUAUUUUCAAAUCAUAUAUCUGAUAAGGAAUUAAUAAUAUCUAAAAUAUGCAAAGAACUCAUACAACUCAAUAGCAAAAAAAAAAUUUUUAAAUGGACAUUUUUUCCAUAAAAGACUAAUAUAGAAGGGGGUACAUGAAAAGAUGCUCAACAUCACUUAUCAUCAACAAAAUUCAAAUCAAAACCAUAAUACAAUAUCUCCUCAUACCUGUUAGAAUGAUAUCAUCAAAAAGACAAGUGAUACCAAGUGUUGGUGAAGAUGUAGAGAAAAGGAAACUCUUGAUCAUUGUUGGUAGCAUUGUAAAUUUAUGCAGCUAUUACUGAAAACAGGAGGUACCUUCUUCAAAAAAUUAAAAGUAAAACUAUCAUAUGAUCCAGCAAUCACACUUCCGGUUAUAUAUCCAAAAGAAAACAGGACCUCCAGGAGAUACCUAAAUUCUCAUGUUCAUUGCAGCACUAGUCACAGUAGCCAAGACAUGGAAACAACCUAAAUGUCCAUCUGCAGAUGAAUGAAACACAAAGAUGUGGUGCAAUGUUUUUCACUCAUGAGAAAGACAGAAAUCCUUCCAUUUGCAACAACAUGGAUGGGCCUUAAGGGCCUUAAGGGCAUUAUACUAAGUGAAAUAAGCCAGACAAAGAAAGAGAAAGACAAAUACUGCAUGGUAUCAGUUUUAUGUAGAAUCUUAAAAAAAUUUUUCUAAUUCAAACUCAUAAAAACCAAGAGUAGAAAACUGGUCUCCAGGGACUGGGGAACCGAGGCAAAGGAAAGGUAGAGAGAGGUUGGUAAAAGGGCACAAACUUGCAAAUGUACGAUAAAGUCUAAGGAUAUAAUAUAAAACAUGGUUAUUAUCAUUGACAACACUCUACUGAAUGACUGAAAUUUGCUAAGAGAGAACUUAAAUGUUCACACAUACACAUACACAAAGACAAAUAGGUGAGUUGAUUUACAAUGUUGUAUUAGCUUCAAGUUUACAGCAUGAAUCAAUUAUACAUACAUCUAUAUCCAUUCGUUUUUCCCAUUUAGGUUAUUACAGAAUAUUACGUAGAUCUUGCAGUAGGUCCUUAUUAUUUACCUGUUUUAUAUAUAGUGGUGUGUAUGUGUUAAUCCCAUCUUCCCAAUUUUAUCCCUCCUCCUCCCAUGGUUUCCCCUUUGAUAACCCUAAAUUUGAUUUCAAAUCUGUGAGUUUAUUCCUGCUGUAUAAAUAAGUUAUUUUGUAUCAUUUUAGAUUAGAUUCCACAUAUGAGAGAUAUCAUGUGGUUAAAUAUCUUACAAUUUCAUUUGUCAAUUAUACCUAAAUACAGCUGGGGAGAAAGUGAUUUAAAAAAUCACAAAUCUGGACUU
rnacentral:lncRNA from 1 species